rnacentral:rRNA from 1 species
GUGGGGAAUUUUGGACAAUGGGCGCAAGCCUGAUCCAGCAAUGCCGCGUGCAGGAAGAAGGCCUUCGGGUUGUAAACUGCUUUUGUACGGAACGAAACGGUCCUGGUUAAUACCUGGGGCUAAUGACGGUACCGUAAGAAUAAGCACCGGCUAACUACGUGCCAGCAGCCGCGGUAAUACGUAGGGUGCGAGCGUUAAUCGGAAUUACUGGGCGUAAAGCGUGCGCAGGCGGUGCUGUAAGACAGGCGUGAAAUCCCCGGGCUCAACCUGGGAAUUGCGAUUGUGACUGCAGUGCUGGAGUACGGCAGAGGGGGAUGGAAUUCCGCGUGUAGCAGUGAAAUGCGUAGAUAUGCGGAGGAACACCGAUGGCGAAGGCAGUCCCCUGGGCCUGUACUGACGCUCAUGCACGAAAGCGUGGGGAGCAAACAGGAUUAGAUACCCGUGUAGUCC